UUAUUUUAUCUCUUUUUUAUAUUUCUCGUAUUUCAUAACUUAUUUUAUAUUAUCGCAUUUGGAAUAUUAUAUAAACUAUGUAUAUGCAUUGAUAUUUCUACUUUUAUCUAUAUAUGUCUUAUGUUUGUUUUAUUUGCAUUUUUUUUUUAUUUUAGUUGUUUAUUUAUUUAUUAGUCUAAUAUUUAAUUGUUGUUUUCUUUUUAUUUUUAUUUUUUACUUCUAUAAAAAUUAUGCAAGCCAAUGAUAUUAGGAAAUCACUUGACAAAUGCUAUCCG
rnacentral:lncRNA from 1 species